AGAGUUUGAUCCUGGCUCAGAAUAAACGUUGGCGGUGCGCCUUAUGCAUGCAAGUCAAACGGGGUUAUGAUUUUCGGAUUGUGACCCAGUGGCGAACGGCUGAGUAACACGUAAGUAACCUGCCUGGGAGUGGGAAAUAACCUGCCGAAAGGCAAGCUAAUGUCCCAUGUGGUAACGAAGCAUACGCUUGGUUACUAAAGCCUUCGGGUGCUCCGAGAGGGGCUUGCGUCCGAUUAGCUAGUUGGUAGGGUAACGGCCUACCAAGGCAAUGAUCGGUAGCUGGUCUGAGAGGAUGGUCAGCCAGAUGGGGACUGAGACACGGCCCCAACUCCUACGGGAGGCAGCAGCAAGGAAUUUUGGGCAAUGAGCGAAAGCUUGACCCAGCGACACCGCGUGAGGGACGAAGGCCUUCGGGUCGUAAACCUCUUUUCUUGGGGAAGAAUUCUGACGGUACCCAAGGAAUAAGCCUCGGCCAACUACGUGCCAGCAGCCGCGGUAAUACGUAGGAGGCGAACGUUAUUCGGAUUUACUGGGCGUAAAGGGAGCGUAGGCGGUUCUUCAAGUCAGGUGUGAAAUCUUCUGACUCAAUCAGAAGGCGCCAUCUGAUACUGAUGGACUUGAGAGCAACAGAGGGAAAUGGAAUCCCCAGUGUAGCGGUGGAAUGCGUAGAUAUUGGGGAGAACACCAGUGGCGAAGGCGAUUUCCCAGGUUGUUUCUGACGCUGAGGCUCGAAAGCGUGGGGAGCGAAGCGGAUUAGAUACCCGCGUAGUCCACGCCGUAAACGGUGGACACUAGAUAUGGGAGGUAUCGACCCUUUCCGUGUCGAAGCUAACGCUUUAAGUGUCCGGCCUGGGGAGUACGGCCGCAAGGCUAAAACUCAAAGGAAUUGAC
rnacentral:rRNA from 1 species